rnacentral:tRNA from 1 species
GUUGUGAUAGUUUAAAUGAGAACUUAAGUUUGUGGUACUUAGGGUGUAGAAUAUACUUGCGACU